GGUUCAAGUCCCUCUAUCCCCAAAAAGACCAUUUGACUCCCUAAUUAUUUAUCGGAUCCUUUUUAUUUAUUUUAUCCUUU
rnacentral:tRNA from 1 species